rnacentral:rRNA from 1 species
AGUGAACGCUGGCGGUAGGCCUAACACAUGCAAGUCGAACGGCAGCACAGUAAGAGCUUGCUCUUACGGGUGGCGAGUGGCGGACGGGUGAGGAAUACAUCGGAAUCUACUUUUUCGUGGGGGAUAACGUAGGGAAACUUACGCUAAUACCGCAUACGACCUACGGGUGAAAGCAGGGGAUCUUCGGACCUUGCGCGAUUGAAUGAGCCGAUGUCGGAUUAGCUAGUUGGCGGGGUAAAGGCCCACCAAGGCGACGAUCCGUAGCUGGUCUGAGAGGAUGAUUAGCCACAAUGGAACCGAGACACGGUCCCGACUCCUACGGGAGGCAGCCGUGGGGAAUAUUUGACAAUUGGCCCAAGCCUGAUCCCGCCAUACCGCGUUGGUGAAGAAGGCCUUCGGGUUGUAAAGCCCUUUUGUUGGGAAAGAAAAGCAGCAGGUUAAUACCCCGCUGUUCUGACGGUACCCAAAGAAUAAGCACCGGCUAACUUCGUG